GGGGGGGGGGGGGGGGGGGGGGGGGGGGGGGGGGGGGGGGGGGGGGGGGGGGGGGGGGGGGGGGGGGGGGGGGGGGGGGGGGGAGUGGAAUUAAGGUCUCUAUUUCAAAGGAAAACUUCUGCCUUUAUUGGCGGAUACCUGUCCUCCAAACCAGGACAAUGUCCCACUGAGUGAUGUUGAAUAAAUCUUCCCCAUGAGUUUGCACACAGUAAUAAAAUCUUUUUGUCCAAACAAAAAUAAGAUUUUUUGGACCAAACAAGUUAGGUCUGUAUGAGAACAGCUCAGGAGGCUUUCAGGGCUCACAGUGAGGAUGGCAGAGCACAGAACGUUAAUGAGGAUAGCAGAGCACAGAACGUUAAAGAUGAAGUGUUAGUUCCCUGAAUUAAUGCCCUGAUGUAGCCAAAUCUUUUUGCAAAGAGACACAAUAGGUUCUUCUCCUUGUUUCCGAGUUCCCAAGCCAUCCUGCAAUUCAUCACCUGCACUAGUGCAGACCAACCUGACGUGGGUCAGUAACAUAUCCGGCUGCUGAGCUCCGAGCCACACGUCCCCGAUGUAAACAAAGUCAGGAACACAGAAACAGCUGUGGGAGAAACACAAGAGAAAAAUCAGAAGAGCUAUUCUUCUAUUUCCACACAGAAAUACCAAGCCAAGCUGUUUACCUCCAGGACUACGUUUUAAAAUAGUUCCCUAACUCUUUUCCUAGAUGGAAAAUGUGCAGUGCAUUUGCCCAUGCAAAGCCAAUGAUCCUGCCCACAAGAAGGAAAAAAACAGUUUCCUGUUACAUAAAACAGUUUGAAAUCUGACCUGUCAGAUGCUGUCAUGGACCAGCAACAGGGAUCAGCAUCCAGGCCCACAGGGACUUGUUUUUUGCAGACUAUUUUCCCUCUUGGAAUUAUAUUUCUUUUAUACCUUUCAUUCCAUUUCAGUCCUUGAAAGGGAAGUUCUGUGUGAAUAUCAUGCAGAGGUCCAGAAUGGAAGUGCUGCUUUAUUUUUCCCAACAGUCCCUAGCUUUGUGUGCUCACAGACUAUUCUGGAAUUCAGAGGUCAAGCGGGGUUGGCUUUGGAUUCACUUCUGGUCCCACUUUGUGCAAACACAACUUGUGCCAGGGUGAGUGAACUCGUCACCUCAGCUUUUCCCUCCAAAACAUCCCCUCCUUCUUUCCCUGCAGAUGAGCUCAGACCCACUCCUCACCUGCACUGGUCAGCCGAGCGUCCAUUCCGUCGCCCGCAGCGACCCCAGGUGCUGGACUCGCCUCUCUGGAUGUGUGCUGAGCUCUCACUGCAGGGGACUGUCAGGCCUGACUGGCUCUGUUCCCUGAGGUGAUUGCCCCUGCCUCAGUUCCGUGCAGCUCCUAGCUGGGCAAAACCAGGACAACUUACAGGGGACAGAGGUGAGAGUUUUAGCUGGAUUUUCUAAAAUUUCUAAUGAUACUGAAAUUAUUUCCAAUUGCCCAGGGAGAAGAACACAAACUCACAGCCAAUCAGGGCUGAGAGUCACUGAGGCAAAUCUGACUCGGUAUAAAUCAGUAACCAAAUUCCCAUCUCAGCACCGCUGCUGAGCUCAGCCCAGGGCUGCGGUGCUUUGGGGACAGACAGCCAAGGGGGCAAAAAGGAGAGCCCCAAUCCUUUAAAAAAAUCCUCCUAAAUGAAUGCCCCAAAAAAACCCUGAGCAAAAGUAAAAAAAACGCUGCCUGUAACUAAAUGAAAACAAACAAAAAAAAACCCCUUAGGUAUUAAACCCCUCCACGGUAACUCCUAACUGGAUACCCGGUCACUGUCCUCAACUUACUCAUCUGAAGCCCCAAUCUCAAACAUCAUCUUUGACACAGGGCAGAGGCCUUUUGUGAUAUGAUAAGCCUGCCAAAAAAAAUCUCAGGUAUCAUACUUACCAUAACCUGGAAUUCCAGGAAGUUGUAUUGCUCCUAAAAAAAGACAAGAACAAAGCCAAAAACUACAGAAGCACCUUAUCGCCUCUGAAAGCACAACCCAAAAUCGUGAACUUAAAUACUCCCUGUAUUCAAUGCUAUUUCCUUCACUGAAUUUUCAAAGCCUCUGCUGCUUCAGAUGCCCAAAAGUAUCUGCUGAAAAAACAAACUGAGAUAAGCUGACACAGCCUCUUGACAGAAAUGAGAGGAGUGCCCUUAUCUCAGCUGACCCCAGAGAGGGGAUGAAGGCCCUUAGCAAUAUUAAUAAUUAAUAAUUAGUUAAUAUACCCCUGACUGGGCCUGCCUCUCGUUCCCAAGAAAAAGGAGGAGCAAAUCCCAGGAGGUAUAAAAGGCCCAGAGGAGCUGCAGCUGUUUGGCUCCUCUGAAUUAAACUCAAGGUAUUUCUUUAAUAUAGAAGAAAAUGCUUCAGGGAAAUGACAACCCUUUCUUUUUUACUACAACCAGUUUGAGCAAAAGGGCAGAAAUCUGGUCAGAAGCAGCACUCUGUGUUUCAGCAGCAUAGCGAGAUAAGCAGGAUAAUUUAUUGAGUUCCAUAAUUGUUCCUUAGUGACUGCUGAGUAGUGCUCCACAUGUGACUAAGGAGGGUGGAGAGGAAUAGGAACGAGACCUCUAUUUAGGGCUACCUACAUUAUAAAUAAAAAUAGGAAAAAUAAUAGAUUCCCAGGCAAUGUUAGGGUUAUGCACAUGCCAGGCUCGCUCUCAUCUGAGAUAUUUGGUACUGGGGCACAGGAAGAACUGCCCUGAAAUGCAAUUUUAAACCCUUAAAAUGCUGAAAAGGGCAGAGCUUCCUUCAAGUGAACCUCUUAAAGAAAUGGGGCGGUUACCUCCACUCCCACCAAUACAAUGGCAAAUAAAUGGCUUCUCCCUUUGAAUUCAAUCCCCUAAAAUGAUGGGAAAUGUUUGGUUUUCCUCACUUUAAAUCUCCCCAAUGAUGGAAAAAGGGGGAUUUCUUCCCGUCAACUUAAGCCCUUAAAAAGGAGGGACAACUGGGCUUCCCUCUGAAUUUAAACUGUAGGAUGAUGAAAAUGCAGGAGUUACCCUUAAUUCAAACCCAUAAAAUAUCAUUGUCAAGGUUACCCUCUUCAAUUUGAACUGAAAAAAAAAGGAAAAUGGGGAUUCUCUGUCAGUUGCUAACCCUGAUAUCACAGAAAAAGCAGAGUUUUAUUCAAUUGAUACCAUAAAAAUCACAGAGGAGGGAGAUUCCCCCUGGAUUAAAACACAGACAAUGAUGGAAAAGAAAAUAUUUUACCUCAACAUAAAAUUAUUUUCUCAAAAUAAUGCAGGAAAAUUCCCAGACCCUGGCUGCCUUCGAAGUGCCCGGCGCCUCCUCCGCACCGAGCUCUCAGGGAGUUCAGCCAAUGGGGAGAGAGGGAAACGCGCUUGGCAAGCGAGGAUGAAGAGGAUGGGGAGGAUAAAGAGGACGAGCCCGGGGAGCCCGACCCCGCCGCAGUGCCGCGCGCUCCGCGCACGCGCGCCCUCCGCGCCCCGCCGGC
rnacentral:lncRNA from 12 species